rnacentral:rRNA from 1 species
GACGGAAGGUGCAAAUGUUGUUCGGAAUUACUGGGCUUAAAGGGUGCGUAGGCUGCGCUAUAAGUCGGGUGUGAAAUCCCUCAGCUCAACUGAGGAACUGCGCCCGAUACUGUAGUGCUUGAGGAGGAUAGAGGUGAGCGGAACUAGCAGUGGAGCGGUGAAAUGCGUUGAUAUUGCUGGGAACACCCGUGGCGAAAGCGGCUCACUGGGUCCUUUCUGACGCUGAGGCACGAAAGCUAGGGGAGCGAACAGG